rnacentral:lncRNA from 1 species
AUGCCUUUUCUCCAAAUCUCCAAAUCAGAACCGGAUCGCUCUGUGUCUUUUUUUUUUUUUUCCCCAAAACUGAAAGGUUGUCCUGGAAGUAAGUUCGCUCACCUGCCUCCCCCGCUCUCCCUUCCAGUGCCGCCACCCUGCCUUCGCCAGCGUGGGAGUGCACGCCCAUGCUCGCUCACAUGCACACUCACGCACACACGCAUGCUCGCGCACACAUGCGCACACACGUGCGCACACAGUUCACACAGACGCACACUCACGUAUGCACACGCACACCUGCGUGCACACACACGUGAACGCGCGCACAUACACACAUGCGCACUCACGUGUACAUUCACACACGCGCACGUAUACACACAGGCGCACCUGCGUGCACACACACACACUGUGAACUCACACGCACACUCACACAUGCGCACCUGCGUGCACACACACACACGUGCACACACACAGGCGCAUACACACUGCGCACUCGCGCACACUCACACACGCGCACGUAUACACACACAAGCGCACCUGCGUGCACACACACACUGCGCAUUCUCACGCACACACAGGCGCACCUGCGUGCACGCACACACGUGCCCUCACACACACAGGCGCACCUGCGUGCACGCACACACAGUGUGCACUCACACAUGUGCACCUGCGUGCACACACACAUGCAGACACACACACGUGCACACACACUGCACACCCGCACACACACACAUGCAGACACGCACACACACGUGCACACACAGGCGCACACACUGCGCACUCGCGCACACUCACACACGCGCAUGUAUACACACACAAGCGCACCUGCGUGCACACACACACUGCGCACUCGCACACACACUGCACACUCGCACACACACACUGCACACUCGCACACACACACACACAGGCGCACCUGCGUGCACACACACACUGCGCACUCUCACGCACACACAGGCGCACCUGCGUGCACGCACACACGUGCCCUCACACACACAGGCGCACCUGCAUGCACGCACACACACUGUGCACUCACACGCACACUCACACAUGUGCACCUGCGUGCACACACACAUGCAGACACGCACACACACAGGCGCACACACUGCGCACUCGCGCACACUCACACACGCGCAUGUAUACACACACAAGCGCACCUGCGUGCACACACACACUGCGCACUCUCACGCACACACACACAAGCGCACCUGCGUGCACGCACACACUGCACACUCUCACGCACACACACACACAGGCGCACACUGCGCACUCGCGCACACUCACACGCGCACGUAUACACACACAAGCGCACCUGCGUGCACACACACACUGCGCACUCUCAUGCACACACACGCAGGCGCACCUGCGUGCACGCACACACGUGCCCUCUCACACGCGCUCCUGCAGCAGUGA